CACUCUGUGUGGGGAACAUGAGAGCCAGACCAAAGCUCAGAGCCCAGAGCUGUGGGGCGUACCAGGCUCAGCUGGACAUAACCCUGAAACUAAUCCAGAGCCUGGACCUGAACCCAGCUGUGUUUCCUUAAAGAGCAACAUGUCGAAGGAUGCUGCUGUAAACUUUAACAAAAGACUGUUAUGUGACAAAGAGAUCAAUAAGAGGCCAGAAUCUCCUGGACCUGAACCCAGCUGUGUUUCCUUAAAGAGCAACAGGUCGAAGGAUUUUGGUGUUUACUUUAAAGGCUGUUCUUCUGCUGCUGAGAGGUAAU